rnacentral:rRNA from 1 species
UACAGAGGUCCCGAGCGUUGUUCGGAUUCAUUGGGCGUAAAGGGUGCGUAGGCGGCGCGGGUAGUCAUCGGUGAAAGUUCAGGGCUCAACUCUGAAUCGGCCGGUGAUACUCCCGUGCUCGAGCACUGUAGAGGCAGGUGGAAUUCCGGGUGUAGCGGUGGAAUGCGUAGAGAUCCGGAAGAACACCGGUGGCGAAGGCGGCCUGCUGGGCAGUAGCUGACGCUGAUGCGCGACAGCGUGGGGAGCAAACAGG